AACGAACGCUGGUGGUAUGCUUAACACAUGCAAGUCGAACGAGCGUGGCCUAGCUUGCUAGGAUUCUGCUAGUGGCGCACGGGUGAGUAACACGUGGGAAUCUGCCUCAUAGUAUGGAAUAACAUUCAGAAAUGAAUGCUAAUACCAUAUAAUACCUCCGGGUCAAAGAUUUAUUGCUAUGAGAUGAGCCCGCGUUAGAUUAGCUUGUUGGUAAGGUAAAAGCUUACCAAGGCUACGAUCUAUAGCUGGUCUGAGAGGAUGAUCAGCCACACUGGGACUGAGACACGGCCCAGACUCCUACGGGAGGCAGCAGUGGGGAAUAUUGGACAAUGGGCGAAAGCCUGAUCCAGCAAUACCACGUGAGUGAUGAAGGCCUUAGGGUUGUAAAACUCUUUCAGAUAUGAAGAUAAUGACUGUAAUAUCAGAAGAAGCACCGGCUAACUCCG
rnacentral:rRNA from 1 species